rnacentral:rRNA from 1 species
UACAGAGGGUGCAAGCGUUGUUCGGAAUUACUGGGCGUAAAGGGUGCGUAGGUGGUUUGAUAAGUUAGGUGUGAAAGUCCUGGGCUUAACCUGGGGAUUGCGCUUAAGACUGUUGAGCUAGAGUACUGUAGAGGAAGGUGGAAUUUCCGGUGUAGCAGUGAAAUGCGUAGAUAUCGGAAGGAACAUCAGUGGCGAAGGCGACUUUCUGGACAGAUACUGACACUGAGGAACGAAAGCGUGGGGAGCAAACGGG